rnacentral:rRNA from 1 species
UCGAGAAUUUUUCACAAUGGGCGAAAGCCUGAUGGAGCGACGCCGCGUGGGGGACGAAGGGCUUCGGCUCGUAAACCCCUGUCAUUUGCGAACAAUGGCGCCAACCUAAUACGUUGUCGUCUGAUAGUAGCAGAAGAGGAAGGGACGGCUAACUCUGUGCCAGCAGCCGCGGUAAUACAGAGGUCCCAAGCGUUGUUCGGAUUCACUGGGCGUAAAGGGUGCGUAGGUGGUGAGCUAAGUUGGGUGUGAAAUCUCCGGGCUUAACCCGGAGGGUGCGCUCAAAACUGGUUCGCUCGAGGAUGGGAGGGGAGACUGGAAUUCUCGGUGUAGCAGUGAAAUGCGUAGAUAUCGAGAGGAACACCGGUGGCGAAGGCGAGUCUCUGGACCAUUCCUGACACUG